GAAAACUCCAUUUUUCAGUUUUGGAAUAUAACGUUUGACUCUUCGUCUUAUUUGAAAAAAAAUAUGAUUACUAUUUUUAUUGUUAUUAGAUAAUAAAACAUAAAUCAUACUUUAUGCAUGACUAAUUAUUUUUAAUUUCAUAAAAUUUAAAUAGGUCGAAUAGUCAAACGUUGAACACAGAAACCUAU
rnacentral:pre_miRNA from 1 species